rnacentral:lncRNA from 1 species
UCCGGGAGGCACUUGGCCAUGUCGAGACGCCUGAUUUUGUUCCCUGGCGAGCAGAGGAGACACCGCGAUCGAAAUUUUACUCGGUUACCUCCCAGAUGAAAUUUCUUUUCUCAUUUGGUUCAAACUGAUGGAAAGGGAUAUUGGUGAUUUUUUUCCCCAUUUAAGAUCCAAGAUGAAAAGAACCAUGAGUCACAUGGUAAGAGGC